CGCCCGUCGCUCCUACCGAUUGGGUGUGCUGGUGAGAUGCCGGGAUUAGUGGCUGUGGGCGGUUCGCCGCCCUCUGCCGCUGAGAACUUCAUCAAACCCUCCCACCUAGAGGAAGGAGAAGUCGUAACAAGGUUCCU
rnacentral:rRNA from 1 species